GACGAACGCUGGCGGCGUGCUUAACACAUGCAAGUCGAACGGAAAGGCCCUGCUUUUGUGGGGUGCUCGAGUGGCGAACGGGUGAGUAACACGUGAGUAACCUGCCCUUGACUUUGGGAUAACUUCAGGAAACUGGGGCUAAUACCGGAUAGGAGCUCCUGCUGCAUGGUGGGGGUUGGAAAGUUUCGGCGGUUGGGGAUGGACUCGCGGCUUAUCAGCUUGUUGGUGGGGUAGUGGCUUACCAAGGCUUUGACGGGUAGCCGGCCUGACAGGGUGACCGGCCACAUUGGGACUGAGAUACGGCCCAGACUCCUACGGGAGGCAGCAGUGGGGAAUACUGCACAAUGGGCGGAAGCCUGAUGCAGCAACGCCGCGUGCGGGAUGACGGCCUUCGGGUUGUAAACCGCUUUCGCCUGUGACGAAGCGUGAGUGACGGUAAUGGGUAAAGAAGCACCGGCUAACUACGUG
rnacentral:rRNA from 1 species